UCGCCUGCACGAAGUUGGAAUUGCUGUAAUCGUGGAUCAGCAUGCCACGGUGAAUACGUUCCCGGGUCUUGUACACACCGCCCGUCACACCAUGGGAGCCGGUAAUACCCGAAGUCAGUAGUCUAACCGCAAGGAGGACGCUGCCGAAGGUAGGAUUGGCGACUGGGGUGAAGUCGUAACAAGGUAAC
rnacentral:rRNA from 1 species